GACGAAGGGGGCUAGCGUUGUUCGGAAUUACUGGGCGUAAAGCGAGUGUAGGUGGUUGUCCAAGUUGGAUGUGAAAGCCUUGAGCUCAACUCAAGGAAUGCAUUCAGGACUGGGCGACUAGAGGACCGGAGAGGAUAGUGGAAUUCCCAGUGUAGUGGUGAAAUACGUAGAGAUUGGGAAGAACACCAGUGGCGAAGGCGGCUAUCUGGACGGUUUCUGACACUAAGACUCGAAAGCGUGGGGAGCAAACAGG
rnacentral:rRNA from 1 species